AACGCAUCUUGCGCUCGCUGGUAUUCCGGCGAGCAUGUCUGUUUGAGUGUCGUGAACUCUUCAACCCCCAAUUUUUCUGUAUGGGAAUUUUGGCGCGGCUUGGUUUCUGAACGUUUCAUGCUGGAUUCUACCCUCGGGUGGAAUCGAAGCUCGUUCGUAAUGCAUUAGCAUCCUAAUCUUCGAGAUCAGAUUGACUCGGCGUAAUAGACUAUUCGCUGAGGACAUGGCCCCCCGUCAAAAAGGGAGUUGUGGCUGGACUUGGAAAGUUGGAAGCUUACAAAACCCGACAAUUUAGUCAAUCAUUUUUUAAGAUUAGACCUCAGAUCAGGCAGGAUUACCCGCUGAACUUAA
rnacentral:misc_RNA from 2 species